GAUGAACGCUGGCGGCGUGCCUAAUACAUGCAAGUCGAGCGAACAGACGAGGAGCUUGCUCCUCUGACGUUAGCGGCGGACGGGUGAGUAACACGUGGAUAACCUCCCUAUAAGACUGGGAUAACUUCGGGAAACCGGAGCUAAUACCGGAUAAUAUAUUGAACCGCAUGGUUCAAUAGUGAAAGACGGCUUUGCUGUCACUUAUAGAUGGAUCCGCGCCGCAUUAGCUAGUUGGUAAGGUAACGGCUUACCAAGGCGACGAUGCGUAGCCGACCUGAGAGGGUGAUCGGCCACACUGGAACUGAGACACGGUCCAGACUCCUACGGGAGGCAGCAGUAGGGAAUCUUCCGCAAUGGGCGAAAGCCUGACGGAGCAACGCCGCGUGAGUGAUGAAGGUCUUCGGAUCGUAAAACUCUGUUAUUAGGGAAGAACAAAUGUGUAAGUAACUAUGCACGUCUUGACGGUACCUAAUCAGAAAGCCACGGCUAACUACGUG
rnacentral:rRNA from 1 species